CAGCAGCCACGGUAAUACGAAGGGUGCAAGCGUUAAUCGGAAUUACUGGGCGUAAAGCGUGCGUAGGCGGUGAGUUAAGUCUGCUGUGAAAUCCCCGGGCUCAACCUGGGAAUGGCGGUGGAUACUGGCUCGCUAGAGUGUGUCAGAGGAUGGUGGAAUUCCCGGUGUAGCGGUGAAAUGCGUAGAGAUCGGGAGGAACAUCAGUGGCGAAGGCGGCCAUCUGGGACAACACUGACGCUGAGGCACGAAAGCGUGGGGAGCAAACAGGAUUAGAUACCCGCGUAGUCCCUGUCUCUUAUAC
rnacentral:rRNA from 1 species